CGACGCUGGCGGCGUGGAUUAGGCAUGCAAGUCGAACGGUAUGGACCUUUCGGGGUUCAGAGAGUGGCGAACGGGUGAGUAACACGUAGGUAAUCUACCCUCAAGACGGGGGACAACCCAGGGAAACUUGGGCUAAUACCGGAUGUGUGUAGUGGCUAUUUUUCUGAUUAUCAUUAUUUACGUAAGUGAGUAAUAAUAAGAAGGGAAAGUGGUUAUUACAUAAAAGGUGGCGUAAGCUGCCGCUUGGGGAUGAGCCUGCGUCCUAUUAGUUAGUUGGUGAGGUAACGGCUUACCAAGGCGAUGAUAGGUAGGCGGCCUUAACGGGUGGUCGCCCACACUGGGAUUGAGAUACGGCCCAGACUCCUACGGGAGGCAGCAGUCGAGAAUAGUCUACAAUGGACGGAAGUCUGAUAGUGCGACGCCGCGUGAACGAAGAAUCCCUUCGGGGUGUAAAGUUCUUUUAUACGUGAGCAGUGUCCUUUAUAUUAAUAGUAUAAGGGGAGAGAUAUUAGCGUAUGAAUAAGCAACGGCUAACUCCGUG
rnacentral:rRNA from 1 species